GUGUCAGCCGCCGCGGUAAAACGUAGGAGGCAAGCGUUAUCCGGAUUUACUGGGCGUAAAGCGCGUGUAGGCGGUUCGGCAAGUUGGAUGUGAAAGCUCCUGGCUUAACUAGGAGAGGUCGUUCAAUACUACCGAACUUGAGGUCAUCAGAGGAGAGUGGAAUUCCCGGUGUAGUGGUGAAAUGCGUAGAUAUCGGGAGGAACACCAGUGGCGAAAGCGGCUCUCUGGGAUGAUCCUGACGCUCAGACGCGAAAGCUAGGGUAGCAAACGGGAUUAGAAACCCUCGUAGUCC
rnacentral:rRNA from 1 species